rnacentral:rRNA from 1 species
UACGGAGGGUGCAAGCGUUAAUCGGAAUUACUGGGCGUAAAGCGUACGUAGGCGGUUUAUUAAGUCAGCUGUGAAAUCCCCGGGCUUAACCUGGGACGUGCAGCUGAUACUGGUGAACUCGAGUGUGGAAGAGGGUAGUGGAAUUCCGGGUGUAGCGGUGAAAUGCGUAGAUAUCCGGAGGAACACCGGUGGCGAAGGCGGCUACCUGGUCCACAACUGACGCUGAGGUACGAAAGCGUGGGUAGCGAACAGG